AUACGGAGGGUGCAAGCGUUAUCCGGAAUCAUUGGGUUUAAAGGGUCCGUAGGCGGGCUAAUAAGUCAGGGGUGAAAUCCCACAGCUUAACUGUGGAACUGCCCUUGAUACUGUUGGUCUUGAGUUACCGUGAAGUGGUUAGAAUGUGUAGUGUAGCGGUGAAAUGCAUAGAGAUUACACAGAAUACCGAUUGCGAAGGCAGAUCACUAACUGUAUACUGACGCUAAUGGACGAAAGCGUGGGGAGCGAACAGGAUUAGAAACCCUAGUAGUCC
rnacentral:rRNA from 1 species